AUUUAAAACUGUGAAAUCUCAAAUCAAACCCAUCAAAUGCUCAUGAGGCCAAAUCUUCCUUCAUCUUUGAUUUUAAAUGUGGAGUAUAAGGCCAAGCAUAGUCGAAAAUGUGAAUCAUUUUCACUAAUGAGAAUGAAGAGAAGAAAAAAUUGAGUUCAGAUACAGAAUUUUCCACUGUAUAAACAUAUUCACUUGAAAAGCUUUAGACCUAACCUUCUAAACAGUACAGCUGAAACAAUAAAAUUUAAAAAAAACCCCCUUCAACUUCCAAUAUAUAAAGAUCCCGAGUCCAAACCGAGAGAGAACAUUGUGUAACUAUCAUUUCAUCGUCUGUCAGUUCGGUUCAUCCUCGACAGUAGUGAUUGUUCAACAAAGUAAUUACGUCUGAUAUUUAAAAAAAGAAAAAGGACAGAAAAAUAACACUCAAAAGAAUUUUGUGUUGAAAAAAAAAUGAUGAAUGAAUUACUACAAAUGCUUUGACAAAAAUUGCAUGCUUUCCAGCUACUUGUGCAGCCAGCCAGCCUCCCUUCUACUCUACAGCUUCUCUGGGUUUAAGUGGUCGAGCCGCAUAAUGAUGCUAUCAAAAAUAUUCAUGACCUGCCGUUGACAAGAACGUCAAAGUCAACUUUAAAGUACAACCAUUCUCUUUAUGAUGGAAAAAUACAGAACAUAAGUUAGCCUCCAAUGAAGUUUUCAUCCAUAAUGUGCUGAAAUGAAAUGAACUUUAGGACUUUUGUAUAUGGGUUUGCUUGUAGAGGCUCAACUAUCUUGAAAGGCUGUAAGUCGUAGUCAUUGUAAGGGUCUAAAAUCAUUGAAUCAACAUAUUUCGGGUUAUUUAGGACAAAAGACUUGUUGCCGCAUGUGGCACAAACUCAAGGGUCACGAGUUACAGUUCAAAUAUGCUACUAACGUGAAGGAAAAUAUUGCUGUACAAAUUACUUUAGGUGUUUUGUUGUUGCUAAAGGCAUAAAAUAUUGCAAGGAGAGCAUCCAACACAAAUCCAGUAAGAAAUGACUAAUUAGUAAGUACAUGCACGUCAAAAACCUAACCCAAACUCCAAUUCAUGCAGAUAUCAACCAAGCCAAGACUCAUAAUUAAAAAUAUGACUCUUAUGAGAGUAAAUGGUGAAGUUUAUAACCUAAUUAAAAUACAAAUCCUUACCCAAAGGUUAUAUUUAACAGUUCUAUGGGCAGAUAAUAGGAAUUACCAGAGCUAAAGACUGUACAUUUCAGAAAUUGUGAGACCCCUGAUGCUAGAUCAAUCAUUUUCUCACAAAUGGUUUCUGGCAAACAAGUAGCCGCUGGUCGCUGCCAUUCUGCAAGUCGAUCACCCUCGCUUCCCAGUUUAUCUGUGUAGCGAGUGCCCGUGCCAUCUCAAUGGCGCCUAAUUUAUCAGAAAGAACAAUCCAUCCCUCAGGUCGUAGAAUUCGAUCCAUCUCUAAAAGCAAGUCCAUCAUGCUGCACCUCUCUGAACUGAGAUGUGAGAGAAGCCCAUUUGCAUGAAGCAUGUCAUAUGUACGGGGGUAUGUAGGGAAGGGUUCACACCAAUCAUGCAAAACACCAGCAAAACCUCGGUCAAGUAUGAGAGGAAGUGUGUUACGAGCCCAAACAGGUACAACAUUCAUCACCCACACUGAUUUUUUUCCCUCCAGAAAUGCAGCAUUUAAACCCCCAUAGUGAGCAUUCAUGUCCAUCACAUUACGUAUCAUGUUAUAUGGAGGUAAUGGAUCUUCAUCCCCUGGCCUCUUAGGAUGGUCAGAGAAAAUUAAGGGUGUAAGCAAAGACCAAUAGUUUCUCAGAGCUGAUCCCCAAAAUUGCAAGUCUUCAAAGAAAUCUUCAGGCUGAACUCCAUGAACUUGAAGCUCAGCUGAGCUCAAAUGGAAACCCGAAGACUUGUUCUGAAUGGGAAUCCAGCGUUUGCUGGUGGUCCCAGCUAUACAUGCCACAAGGGGUUGAUAAUAUGGUGAAGUAUCAUGUGCAUCAUUGCAUAAUGGUGGAGUUUCCUGCUUGCGAGAUUUAUAGCAAUUGACAUCUACGGUUUUCUGCCAGACAAAAGUCUCUUCCUGUUGAGAUAGAAGAGUCCAACAUAUUUUUUCAGCUAAUUCUUCUAUCAGUGUCACUCUGUUUCUCCUCUUUGAGUUCAAUGCACUCCCAUGGGGCUUGCUUAUUGGUGAGGUUAACACAAAGUAACCUCCAGGCUUGAGAACUCGAUCAACUUCAAUAAGGAGAAUACCAUCUUUUUCAUCCCAAUUAAUACCACAUUGAGCACAAUGAACCAUGUCAAAUGACAAUGAUGGAUAUGGAAGUUUCCGCGAAUUAAAAUUUCCAAUAAUUGCUGGGAGACCUCUCUCAAGGGCCAGCUGAACUUGACUGCCAGUUGCUUCAUAUACCGCAAUACAAACCACCAUUAACUUCAGUGACACUAAAUGAGCUCCAAAGCUGCCAAAUCCACAACCAAUAUCUAGCACAGUUUGCACACCAGCUUGAAGAAAUUCAGAGUCACUUCCUAAACCUAUCAUCUCUGCAAUCUGGCGAGAAUAAUCUUUGACACCAUCAAAAAUCAACCCGUCUUCUGAGUGGAAAGCAAUUUGAUUCUCUUCCAGUAACAUCAACCUUUUGGUCAUGCUUCCAGAUGAAAGAAACUGGUCUUUGGUGAGCUUCACAUUACCACUCCAUAUCACAUCCCUACCAACCGGCCACCUUAAGGGGAUCUUAUAGUCCUUUGGGGGGCGAAUCAAACACCAUUGUCUUGGUCUUGACAAUUCACAAUUCCUAUCAAACUCCUCCCCGUCUUUAAACCCAGCCAACAAAUUUGCUGAAACAUUAUAACAAGGCACAUAAUUUUCUCUUUCUCUGCCACAAAGUCCCAACUCUUUUUGCCGACUGGCUCCUAAUGAGAGAGUUCUCAGCUCCAAAUAAUCAACCGCAGCUUGCUCCUUUAACCUUCUAUAGUUUGAAUAUAUGUCAGGAACCGGAGUGUUAGUUACAGAAUCAAAUGCACUUGAAGAUGUGGAUCCUAAGAUAGCGAUUAGUACAAGCACACAAAUAAGGCACAACAGCAACCAACUAUGCGGCAGUCUAGGGCCGAAAAUGACAGAUAGUUUAUUGAACCAGGGGCUUCUCAUGUCCAAAUUGUUUUAAGAGGAAACAGAAUCCACUAAAUAACCGAUGUCUCUCCAAGAACAGCGAAAACCAUAACCUAUCAUAACAUAUAAGCUUCUAUAUAUGUUACCAUGAAUCCGCACAAUUCCUACAAGCAUUGAAAACAACCUCCUGGAGAUGUUUCACAGUGAGAUCAUACCAAUCAGCACUCACAUUAUCCAAAAUCCAAGAAGACAACUUAAGUUUACUACAUAACAACCAUCAAGCAGAGUCCAAGGGACCUGAAUUCCAAUCCUAAUUACGAAUCAACAAUCCACACAAUUCAGUUACGCAGAAGAAUUAAAAUUCCCAAUCACCCUUCACUGUCUCAAAUUCAGAGAAUUGAACACAACUGAGUAAAAUCCAAACCAGUCUGCAGUAACUAACCAAUCAGAUCAACCAUUUAUAGCAACAUGCAUUGGUUACCAAAAUGGAAAGAAACCCAACAAAAAUGGAAGCGAAUUAGGGUUUUGUGGGGGAUAAAAUACCAGUUUUGGUUCGUUGAAGACUGGAGAUUCAAAGCAACCUCAACAGAAAGAGGAAGAGAGAACAAUUUUAGGGAGCGUCCAAUUAUAUGGGGUUGUAAAUUUUCUGUGGGAUAGACAAAAGAAUGGCAUAAAAAUCAGUGAUCAGAUCUAAAUGGCUAUACAGAAACCAAAUCAAGAAUGGCCUCUGGCUGUUGAAAUAUUAAUUAAACAAGCUUUCUGUAGGAGGAGGGAGACGAGAGAAUAUUU
rnacentral:misc_RNA from 1 species